UACGGAGGGUGCAAGCGUUAUUCGGAUUCACUGGGUUUAAAGGGUGCGUAGGCGGGCAGGUAAGUCAGUGGUGAAAUCUCCGGGCUUAACUCGGAAACUGCCAUUGAUACUAUCUGUCUUGAAUACCGUGGAGGUCAGCGGAAUAUGUCAUGUAGCGGUGAAAUGCUUAGAUAUGACAUAGAACACCAAUUGCGAAGGCAGCUGGCUACACGAAUAUUGACACUGAUGCACGAAAGCGUGGGGAUCAAACAGG
rnacentral:rRNA from 1 species